rnacentral:misc_RNA from 1 species
AAUUCCGGAUUAUGAGAGAAA